AGGACGAACGCUGGCGGCGUGCUUAACACAUGCAAGUCGAGCGGAAAGGCCCUUCGGGGUACUCGAGCGGCGAACGGGUGAGUAACACGUGAGUAAUCUGCCCCUAGCUCUGGGAUAGCUCCGGGAAACCGGGAUUAAUACCAGAUACGACCACUUUAGACAUCUGUUGUGGUGGAAAGAAUUUUGGCUAGGGAUGAGCUCGCGGCCUAUCAGCUUGUUGGUGAGGUAACGGCUCACCAAGGCGACGACGGGUAGCCGGCCUGAGAGGGCGACCGGCCACACUGGGACUGAGACACGGCCCAGACUCCUACGGGAGGCAGCAGUGGGGAAUAUUGCGCAAUGGGCGAAAGCCUGACGCAGCGACGCCGCGUGGGGGAUGAAGGCCUUCGGGUUGUAAACCCCGUUUCAGCAGGGACGAAGCGAAAGUGACGGUACCUGCAGAAGAAGCGCCGGCUAACUACGCGCCAGCAGCCGC
rnacentral:rRNA from 1 species